GAAGCUUUCUGCCACUCGUUUCUGGUUGUGACUAGUCUGUUGGAUUUUUCUGGAGUCAGAAUACAAAGAGGAAGACUCUGAACGAAGGACAAAAUGUGAUUUGCACCUUAACUGGUCAUGCUGUUCUGCUAAUGAAUGAUUUCAUUUUUCAUGCAGGCAGCAGACAAACAAAUAAACAAAAUGUGGAUGAAUGCAUGGAAACCACAUGGGGGGCAGGCUUCAUGAUGCUAUUUCUUUCUCUAAACAAAUCCACAGACGAGGAAAGAAGAGGAAGAGUCACUUACGCGAUAAAGUUGUUUGAAGCCAUAGAGACUGGUGGGGACUGAUAGGGCUAUCUGGACUCCAUGAACUAGAAGAAGACAUGUUGUUCUCCAUUGAAGCAAUGUGUUCCUUGGGUGCAGAAGAAGAGAAUCACUUAUUUUCCCAUAGGAAACCAAACGCAAAACCAAAAGGAACACGUUAUGGAUCUUGCAAGUGCUUGAUGGUGAAGGAUCACUCACUUCUCCAUUCUCUUAUAAGGGAGAUAACUUGUCAAAUCCAAAACAACUCUUAAUGACUGGGAAAUUUUUUUGGCUUAAUUUACCCAGUUUUUAUAACCUUAAUUUUCUCCUCAUUUCCCCUAAAAUGUGCGGACAGUUUGAUUUUAUAAUUGGUGGUGCAUUAGAAUUUAUGGAGUCAAUUGUUUUCUUUGGUCAAACUCAAAGGCCCAUUAGAGGAACUGUCGCAGCCAUAAUCAAUGACUCCUUCAGUUGGUGUGUACCAAAUCGUGGAAUUAGUAAAAUAAGGAAUACUUGUUACAGAAAAUCAUUUA